GAUGAAACGCUAGCUACAGGCUUAACACAUGCAAGUCGCAGGGUACAUGAGGAAAGCUUGCUUCCUUGAUGACGACUGGCGCACGGUGAGUAACGCGUAUCCAACUUCCCAUAACUACGGGAUAACCCGUUGAAAGACGGCCUAAUACCGUAUGAUAUCGUUUGCUGACAUCAAAUAAACGAUUAAAGGUUUAGCGGUUAUGGAUGGGGAUGCGUCUGAUUAGCUUGUUGGCGGGGUAACGGCCCACCAAGGCUACGAUCAGUAGGGGUUCUGAGAGGAAGGUCCCCACAUUGGAACUGAGACACGGUCCAAACUCCUACGGGAGGCAGCAGUGAGGAAUAUUGGUCAAUGGGCGAGAGCCUGAACCAGCCAAGUAGCGUGCAGGAAGACGGCCCUAUGGGUUGUAAACUGCUUUUAUGUGGGGAUAAAGUGCGUGACGUGUCAUGCAUUGCAGGUACCACAUGAAUAAGGACCGGGCUAAUUCCCGUGCCAGCAGCCGCGGUAAAU
rnacentral:rRNA from 1 species